rnacentral:lncRNA from 1 species
UAUGCGGGAUGAUGCCGUUACUGUGAAUAAUAUUCUUAUAUAUCUUAUUCUUUUUGCGGAUGACACUGUUUUGUUUGGAAAAUCACCAGAAUUAUUGCAAGAACUUUUAGAUAAAUUAUUGAAAUACUGUCAUAAGUGGAACAUUGAAGUUAAUACUGAAAAACAAAAGUUAUAGUAUUUAGAAAUGGAUGGCAACCAGUAAGUGCCAGAUUCUUCUACGACAAUAAAGAGCUACAAAUAGUAAAUUCCUGUAUAUAUCUUGGAAUGAUGUUUUAUUUUAAUGGAAA